rnacentral:lncRNA from 1 species
GACCAGCCCUGUCAACACCUUCAUCUUGUUUCACAUUUGUGAAGGUCGGGGAGGCAUCUGGAGCUUCUUGAUGUGUCAGCUCGGAAUGCUGCCUGUGGGCUGGGUCGGCUUCAGGCCUGCAGGUCAAGGUUUGGGAGAUUGUGGGGGCUCCACACCCUGAGAGUGGAAGGAACAUGGAGCAAACCCCACCCAGGACUUUCCCUCAGAGGUCUGCUCUG